rnacentral:rRNA from 2 species
UUAAGCGACUAAGCGUACACGGUGGAUGCCCUGGCAGUCAGAGGCGAUGAAGGACGUGCUAAUCUGCGAUAAGCGUCGGUAAGGUGAUAUGAACCGUUAUAACCGGCGAUUUCCGAAUGGGGAAACCCAGUGUGUUUCGACACACUAUCAUUAACUGAAUCCAUAGGUUAAUGAGGCGAACCGGGGGAACUGAAACAUCUAAGUACCCCGAGGAAAAGAAAUCAACCGAGAUUCCCCCAGUAGCGGCGAGCGAACGGGGAGCAGCCCAGAGCCUGAAUCAGUGUGUGUGUUAGUGGAAGCGUCUGGAAAGGCGCGCGAUACAGGGUGACAGCCCCGUACACAAAAAUGCACAUGCUGUGAGCUCGAUGAGUAGGGCGGGACACGUGGUAUCCUGUCUGAAUAUGGGGGGACCAUCCUCCAAGGCUAAAUACUCCUGACUGACCGAUAGUGAACCAGUACCGUGAGGGAAAGGCGAAAAGAACCCCGGCGAGGGGAGUGAAAAAGAACCUGAAACCGUGUACGUACAAGCAGUGGGAGCACGCUUAGGCGUGUGACUGCGUACCUUUUGUAUAAUGGGUCAGCGACUUAUAUUCUGUAGCAAGGUUAACCGAAUAGGGGAGCCGAAGGGAAACCGAGUCUUAACUGGGCGUUAAGUUGCAGGGUAUAGACCCGAAACCCGGUGAUCUAGCCAUGGGCAGGUUGAAGGUUGGGUAACACUAACUGGAGGACCGAACCGACUAAUGUUGAAAAAUUAGCGGAUGACUUGUGGCUGGGGGUGAAAGGCCAAUCAAACCGGGAGAUAGCUGGUUCUCCCCGAAAGCUAUUUAGGUAGCGCCUCGUGAAUUCAUCUCCGGGGGUAGAGCACUGUUUCGGCAAGGGGGUCAUCCCGACUUACCAACCCGAUGCAAACUGCGAAUACCGGAGAAUGUUAUCACGGGAGACACACGGCGGGUGCUAACGUCCGUCGUGAAGAGGGAAACAACCCAGACCGCCAGCUAAGGUCCCAAAGUCAUGGUUAAGUGGGAAACGAUGUGGGAAGGCCCAGACAGCCAGGAUGUUGGCUUAGAAGCAGCCAUCAUUUAAAGAAAGCGUAAUAGCUCACUGGUCGAGUCGGCCUGCGCGGAAGAUGUAACGGGGCUAAACCAUGCACCGAAGCUGCGGCAGCGACACUAUGUGUUGUUGGGUAGGGGAGCGUUCUGUAAGCCUGUGAAGGUGUGCUGUGAGGCAUGCUGGAGGUAUCAGAAGUGCGAAUGCUGACAUAAGUAACGAUAAAGCGGGUGAAAAGCCCGCUCGCCGGAAGACCAAGGGUUCCUGUCCAACGUUAAUCGGGGCAGGGUGAGUCGACCCCUAAGGCGAGGCCGAAAGGCGUAGUCGAUGGGAAACAGGUUAAUAUUCCUGUACUUGGUGUUACUGCGAAGGGGGGACGGAGAAGGCUAUGUUGGCCGGGCGACGGUUGUCCCGGUUUAAGCGUGUAGGCUGGUUUUCCAGGCAAAUCCGGAAAAUCAAGGCUGAGGCGUGAUGACGAGGCACUACGGUGCUGAAGCAACAAAUGCCCUGCUUCCAGGAAAAGCCUCUAAGCAUCAGGUAACAUCAAAUCGUACCCCAAACCGACACAGGUGGUCAGGUAGAGAAUACCAAGGCGCUUGAGAGAACUCGGGUGAAGGAACUAGGCAAAAUGGUGCCGUAACUUCGGGAGAAGGCACGCUGAUAUGUAGGUGAAGUCCCUCGCGGAUGGAGCUGAAAUCAGUCGAAGAUACCAGCUGGCUGCAACUGUUUAUUAAAAACACAGCACUGUGCAAACACGAAAGUGGACGUAUACGGUGUGACGCCUGCCCGGUGCCGGAAGGUUAAUUGAUGGGGUUAGCCGCAAGGCGAAGCUCUUGAUCGAAGCCCCGGUAAACGGCGGCCGUAACUAUAACGGUCCUAAGGUAGCGAAAUUCCUUGUCGGGUAAGUUCCGACCUGCACGAAUGGCGUAAUGAUGGCCAGGCUGUCUCCACCCGAGACUCAGUGAAAUUGAACUCGCUGUGAAGAUGCAGUGUACCCGCGGCAAGACGGAAAGACCCCGUGAACCUUUACUAUAGCUUGACACUGAACAUUGAGCCUUGAUGUGUAGGAUAGGUGGGAGGCUUAGAAGUGUGGACGCCAGUCUGCAUGGAGCCGACCUUGAAAUACCACCCUUUAAUGUUUGAUGUUCUAACGUUGACCCGUAAUCCGGGUUGCGGACAGUGUCUGGUGGGUAGUUUGACUGGGGCGGUCUCCUCCUAAAGAGUAACGGAGGAGCACGAAGGUUGGCUAAUCCUGGUCGGACAUCAGGAGGUUAGUGCAAUGGCAUAAGCCAGCUUGACUGCGAGCGUGACGGCGCGAGCAGGUGCGAAAGCAGGUCAUAGUGAUCCGGUGGUUCUGAAUGGAAGGGCCAUCGCUCAACGGAUAAAAGGUACUCCGGGGAUAACAGGCUGAUACCGCCCAAGAGUUCAUAUCGACGGCGGUGUUUGGCACCUCGAUGUCGGCUCAUCACAUCCUGGGGCUGAAGUAGGUCCCAAGGGUAUGGCUGUUCGCCAUUUAAAGUGGUACGCGAGCUGGGUUUAGAACGUCGUGAGACAGUUCGGUCCCUAUCUGCCGUGGGCGCUGGAGAACUGAGGGGGGCUGCUCCUAGUACGAGAGGACCGGAGUGGACGCAUCACUGGUGUUCGGGUUGUCAUGCCAAUGGCACUGCCCGGUAGCUAAAUGCGGAAGAGAUAAGUGCUGAAAGCAUCUAAGCACGAAACUUGCCCCGAGAUGAGUUCUCCCUGACUCCUUGAGAGUCCUGAAGGAACGUUGAAGACGACGACGUUGAUAGGCCGGGUGUGUAAGCGCAGCGAUGCGUUGAGCUAACCGGUACUAAUGAACCGUGAGGCUUAACCUU